rnacentral:misc_RNA from 1 species
ACACACACACACACACACACGGCCAGCCAGCCACUGAGCCAGUGCCACAAGCAGCCUCUGAGGCUCAGUAAGGCCGCGGCCACCGUAAGAGGAGGAUGUACACUCUCUCGCUCCUCGCAUUCCAUCACUGACUCGACCUAACCCUUUGCCUCCCGUGCUCUCGUGACUCACCGCCUUACACCUGCUCUUCUGCCGUGACCCAGUUAGGUGGAAAGUAAGAGUGAACCAGUGAACCAGUGAACCAGUGAACCAGUGAGAUUGAACCAGUGAGGAUAGAGAGAGAAAGAGAGAGAAGGAGAGAGGGAGAGACAGAGUGAAGCAAUGAAUCCUACAAGUGAACCUAUCAGUGAAGCAAUGAACCACUCCAUCAGUAGAAGCAAAACAGUGAAGCAGUGAAGCCAUAAAAAAAAAAAAGAGUUAAUAUAGUGAAGUGAAUCUUUUUGAAGUGAAACUGAAAAAAAAAAUUGAAACAAGCAAAAAAAAAAAAAAAAAAAAAUCAAGGAAAAAAAAAGUAAAAGCGAAAAAAUGAACCUCAAAAAAAGCGAACCAACGAAUCUUUAAAAGUGAAACAGUACAGAUACGAAACCAGAAAAGUGAAACAGUGAACCGAAAUAAAAAAAAAUAAAAAAAAACCAAUGAACCAGUGAAACUCCCGAAAAUAUUGACAAUUUAGUGAUAACGAACAAAUGAAACAACGAAACCUUAUAAGUGAACCAGUGAAUCAGUGUGUCUUUUGUAAGUGAACCAGUAAAGUGAAGCCAAGCGAACCAGCCAAAUGAACCACCAACACAGUGAACUGGUGCAGAAGGAAAGGAGGAUAAGGAAGGAAAACAGGCAGUAAAAAGGAAAAAGAAAAGAAAAAGAAAAGAAAAAGAAAAAAAGGAGAAAGGGAAAGACGAAAACACGAAAUAAAUGUGCUAGCAAAGAGGAGAAUAAAUAAAGAAAAAGAAGAAAAAGAAGAGAGAACACACACACACACACACACACACACACACACACACACACACAGCUUAUCAGUAAAAAAAAAAAAAAAAGGAAUAAUUACAAAAAAAAGCUUUAAUUUUGUGUCUAUCUUUGAACAACAAGAUAAGAAGAGGAACUAGAGAAGAGAUAGGAGAGAUAAGGAGAGUCAAGGUGAUACGAGGUGGAAAACUGUGCUAAGAGAGGAGGAGGAGGAGGAGGAGGAGGAGGAGGAGGAGAAGGACACAUGAUAGACCAGACAGAUAAUGACAGAUAACACGAGAGAAGAUAAGAACAAGGCAAUGCAGUAUCUUUUCCAAUCCCUCAUUCAUUUCUCUCUCUCCUCUGUUCACUAAAAAAAAAAAAAAAGGAAAAGAGAAAUGUGAAGGAAUAAAAGGAAAAAAAAAAGACUAAACAGCGAGAGAAACAAGAAAGACAUACAUACACACAGACACACAGACACAAACACACACACACACAAUGCACAAAGCGAAACACAAAAUGAACGAAGAAAACACACAACAAACAAUACCACGAGAGAAAACGGGAAUAUACACACCACCAACAAGGUAAUACCACCACAACACCACAACACCACCACAAACAUGGCCGAAACUGCCUACCGCCUCUCCAAGUUCCUCGCAGUUCAGGACAACUUGAGGAACGAGACGGAGAGUAUUCUGGCACAGUGCUCCGCUAACCUAACCUCACCGGAGACUCUAAACGCUGCCUGUGACUCUUGCAAUGCCACGGGGGUCCAGCGGCUAUGGGAGGAAGGACUCUGUGAUUUCCCCCCGACGCCUGCUUUCGAUUCUGCUGUCUACGUUUUUUACAUCACCAUCCUCGUCGUCGCUGUAUUGGGAAACUCCGUCGUGGUGUACAUCGUCUGCUCGUCUGAGAAAAUGCGAACUGUCACCAAUUACUUCAUAGCAAACUUAGCCAUCGGUGAUCUGUGCAUGGCGAUCUUGUGCGUCCCUUUCUCCUUCAUCAGCACGUUAAUCCUCAAGUUCUGGCCAUUUGGAGGACACUUAUGCGUGGCUGUCAAUUACCUCCAAGCUGUCUCUGUCUUCGUUUCCGCGUAUACCUUAGUAGCGAUCAGCCUGGACCGCUAUUUGGCCAUCAUCUACCCUCUCAGACCUCGCAUGACGCGCUGCCAGGCUAAAAUCAUCAUAGCGAGUGUUUGGGUGCUGUCCCUCGCCACAACCUUACCAGUAGCUGUGUAUUCUCGCCUCCUCACACCGCCUGUUAACUUCUACGCUCUUAUGGACAGACAAGUGUGCACGGAGGACUGGGGGCCGGAGGAGUCAGAUAAGUCAAGGGUAGCGUAUAGCGUUGCCCUUAUGUUGCUGCAGUACUUUCUUCCUCUCACUGUCCUUGUGUUCACCUACUCCCGCAUCGCUAUGGUGGUGUGGGGCAAGAGAACGCUGGGGGAGACGCCGGCACGGGUCGACAGGAUAGCCAGGAGUAAGAGAAAGACGGUAAAGAUGAUGGCAGCCUGCGUGAUAGCCUACACACUGGCUUGGCUGCCCCUCAACCUGUACAUCGUGGCCGCUGACAUGCCCGGCGGCCUGCUUGAUCUGCUACCGGAGGGCGCUCACAUCCUGCUGUUCUUCAUCGUGCACAGCCUCGCCAUGUCCCACACUUGCUACAACCCCGUCAUAUAUUUCUGGAUGAACGGGCAAUUCCGCCACGCCUACUACCGCGUGCUGCCCUGCCUGCACCGCCUGCCCUUCACUACAGGCCUCUCAGAAGGUCUCUCCAGUCGACAGGUCACCAGUAAAUGCGAGGCUCAAGUGUGUGACGUGAGGGAGGCACCAGGUGGAAAUGACAGCUCAACAAUUAACCUGCAUGUGCUUGUGUCACGUGACGGGUCCACAGCUCACUACCACCACCACCACCAUGACAGCCACUCCCUCAACAAAGCUAUUGACGGAGACACUGUUGCAAGCCGCCAUCUCGAGCUCCUAUGACCAAGAUGAUGGUGACCGUGGUGAUGGUGUACACUCUCUGCUGGCUGCCCUUCAACGUGCUCAUGGUGGUGCGGGAGUUGUGGGUGGUGGACUCGUGGACGUACAUGAAGGAAAUGUGGGCGCUGUU